GCCCGGGUGGCGCAACUGGUGGACGCGGAGGGCUUAAACCCCUCUGGCCCUUCGGGGCUGUGUGGGUUCGAAACCCACCCCGGGCA
rnacentral:tRNA from 1 species